GCAGUAGCCGCGGUAAUACGGAGGAUCCAAGCGUUAUCCGGAAUCAUUGGGUUUAAAGGGUCCGUAGGCGGUCUUGUAAGUCAGUGGUGAAAGCCCAUCGCUCAACGGUGGAACGGCCAUUGAUACUGCAGGACUUGAAUUAUUGGGAAGUAACUAGAAUAUGUAGUGUAGCGGUGAAAUGCUUAGAGAUUACAUGGAAUACCAAUUGCGAAGGCAGGUUACUACCAAUUGAUUGACGCUGAUGGACGAAAGCGUGGGUAGCGAACAGGAUUAGAUACCCCUGUAGUCCCUGUCUCUUAUAC
rnacentral:rRNA from 1 species